GGUUCGUUUCUAUAAAUAGGUAUCACUACCGCUAGACUUGUAAAACCCUAAUCAGUGGCGGCUCUCUCCCUUAAAACCCUAAUUUGCCGCAUCCACAUUUGUAACAGAUGUUACAGCUCUGACACGGUGCCUCUAAUGGCAGGCGUUACGUGUAGAGAGCACAACUCCUUUUUCCCUUUCAUACUUGUACCACUACAUUUGAAGAUUUCCCUCUGUGUGGAUCCAAUAUUUAGAAAUGAAUCCUCUAAUACUAAAUCCAACUUAGAGGUUAUUUGGAGGAUGUAUAGCUGUUUUGUUGGUCAGUCCCACAAACAAUAUUCCAUAGCUAUUUUGGAAUAUUGUCUUUGGUACUGCCCAAGAAAAUAGCUAUGCAUGCCCAUCCACAAGACCUCUCACUAUUUUCAUACGCUUUAUUUUUUCCUUUGAUGCAUCCAGAUUGUGCUUUACUAUGUGUGUGUAACAUGGCUUGUGGCCUUGAUAGUAUUUGAUGUUUGUCAGUACUGAUAAGCUAGCAUUGAUUGUUUUAUUCCUCUUCCCAUUGUUAUAUAUGUAAAGAGGUCUUUAAUCGAUGCUUAUAUGAAAGUUUGGAGAAUGGUUGGCCCCUGGAAUUUGUUUAUGUCUUUGGGGUUUUCAAUAUUUCUCCUAUAAAUAAUACGUCACUACUCUCUAGUUUAUAUCCAGUUCUACAAUUGUGUUAUUAUUAUUUUUGAUUUGGCAAAAUAAUUAUUUUCAUUAACAUGCUUACAUAAAUGCCCCUAAUGUUUAUCAUCUAUUAAGUGGUUUGAGUAAAAGGUACAGACUCUGGAGUAUAUUUGGUAAAAAUUGCUACUAUUUGUGAACAUGUUUUUAUGGAUUAGAUUCUUAACAGAAAAAUAUUGAUUGAUUUUGAUUGAUUUUGUCUAUGGAUAUGAUGAUUAUUUCCCCAGAUGAUCGAAGCUGAAAUUACUGAGCGCUUUUUCUGUAUUUUCUCCUUCGGGGGGGAAAUCCAAGCCAGAUAUUCUGAUCCAUGUACUGUAAACUUUAAAUGCUUUUUUACUUAAAUUUUGUAAAAAUUCUGAUUGUUUGUGAACUCUUUUUUUUAUGGAUUAGAGUCUUAAUAUAAAAAUAUUGAUUGAUUUUUGAUUGAAUUUGUGUAUGGAUAUGAUGAUUAUUUCCCCAGAUGAUCGAAGCUGAAAUUACUGAGCGCUUUUCUGUAUUUUUUCCUUCGGGGGAAAAUCCAAGCCAGAUAUUCUGAUCCAUAUACUCUAAAUGCUUUUUGCUUAAAUUUUGUAAAAAUUGCGAUCAUUUGUGAACAUUUUUUUUUGGAUUAGAUCUUAACAUAAAAAUAUUAAUUGAUUUUUGAUUGAAUUUGUGUAUGGAUAUGAUGAUUAUUUCCCCAGAUGAUCGAAGCUGAAAUUACUGAGCGCUUUUCUGUAUUUUCUCCUUCGGGGGAAAAUCCAAGCCAGAUAUUCUGAUCCAUAUACUCUAAAUGCUUUUUGCUUAAAUUUUGUAAAAAUUGCGAUUAUUUGUGAACAUUUUUUUUAUGGAUUAGAUCUUAACAUAAAAAUAUUAAUUGAUUUUUGAUUGAAUUUGUGUAUGGAUGUGAUGAUUAUUUCCCCAGAUGAUCGAAGCUGAAAUUACUGAGCGCUUUUCUGUAUUUUCUCCUUCGGGGGAAAAUCCAAGCCAGAUAUUCUGAUCCAUCUUAAUUCAUUGAAGUUAUUCUUAAAUUCUUAAAGUUACUAUAGAUUCAAUUUUCCUUUUGGUAACAAUAAUUUAUGAUUGUGAUUGAACUUUUAUAUGGAUGUGAUGACUAUUUCCCCAGAUGAUCGAAGCUGAAAUAACUGAGCGCUCUUUAUGUAUUUUCUUCCUUCGGGUAGAAAAUCCAAGCCAGAUAUUCUGAUCCAUAUCUUUUACUUUUGUUUUCUUUCUAAAGGUUGCCUGUCAGAAAUAAUUAAUUUAGUUAAUUUGAUGAAACAUGUAAAAGUGGCUGAAUUGGAAAGCUGAAAAAAGGGCAAGGGUAAUGAGGCUUAGAUUCCAUAGAGUUCAACCUGCAUUGGGCUUUAGUUAAGCCUAUAUCCAUGGAAUUAAUUUUUUUGAUAUUUUUCCAAUUGUAGAAUGACGUUGGAGAGGUAUAGAUUGUUGAGUAUGUCUGCUUAACAAUGCUACUCGUCAUUAUAAGUAAGCGUUGAUUGUUUUAUUCCUCUUCACAUUACUAUGUGUGUAAAGAGGUCUUAAUCAGUGCUUAUAUGAAAAUUUGGAGAAUGGUUGGCCCCUGGAAUUUGUUCAUGUCCUUGGGGUUUUCAAUAUUUCUUCUACAAAUUAUACUCUCUAACUUUGUAUCCAGUUCUGUAAUUGCCCUAUUAUCACUUGUGUUUUAUGUCCGCAAAAAUCCUUUUAUGUGCUUACAUAAAUGCCCAUAGAGUUGGCACUGAACCAUCUCCAUAAUUGUCUUUCAUCCGUAAGUUUAAGUUUUUCCAGUCAAUGCUAAUAUGAAACAGUGGCAGUGAGUAUUAAUUAUUUGCUCCUCUGUAGUUUAGAGGUUGCUACUGCACAUAUUUUGUACUAAUCAGGUUUUGAGAUGCUUGUCCUCUAUUCACUUGUUCGGCAUUCAUGGCCAAGUAAUAGACUGUUGAGUAUGUUUGACACCUCUAUGUUGUAGAAUGACAUUGAUUGUAGAAACUUCUUACCAUUCUAUAUCAAGAUGUUUUUAGCCUGUCAUGUACCUUGAAGAAGAGUUUUUGUGCUAAAGGAGUUUGUGUGGGAGCAAAUAAAUAUCUAAAAUCAGAGUGGAUUAGUUCUAGCAUUGCUUAAUUCUCUCCCUCAUGUACAAAUGGGUGGAAGAGGCUACUCAUCGAUGCUUACAUUAAACUAAGUUUGUCAGGCUCCUUUGAACUCUUUUAUGAUACUGGAGUUUGGAAAAUGCUUGUACAUGUAUCAUUAUGAUAGGAACUCCACAUAAUUUUUUAUCUCCUGUUUUCUAUAGGUAACUUUGAAAUUUAAAUUCGUAGCAAAGUCUAUCCUGCUGAAGCUGUUCUUGGGGAUCUUGGGGAAAUCUUAUAUAAGAGGAGCUAGAAUAUUGUGAACCGUAUACUACUUUGUUAAAGACUGGGAUAUGUGUUGUAUAAUAACAGUGAAAAGAAGUUUCUUCUUCUUUGGUCUAAUGACUUCCGGCUAUAAUGGAUCUCUUUCUUUUCAACUUAUAAUGACCUGCCAAAUUGUAUCCACCAGCUUACUGCAAUUGACAAUUAAUCACAUAAUAUGAUUAUGGACCGUAAUGCUGCUAAACAAAAAAUGUACGUUUGCUAGUUAGUCCAGUCAAGUGAGCUACUAAUAGUGCAUUGCAUUCUAUCUAUGGGUAUCAAGUCUCUUUAGAUAUGCAUGUAUCUUAACCAGUCGACUCGUGUGUUUUUUGACUGUUUGCUCACUGAUAUCUUAUGAACUGUUCAUGAUGUUGCUGGCUGUCCAUGUCUCAGCUUCACUAAGUAUCAAGAAAAUUCACCAGCUAGUGGAGAUCAGUUUUUAGGCAUAGCUCUGCCAGAAAGUUGCAUCUGAGACUUGAAAUGUAUAAUGAUUUGUUGUAUAUCUUAGAAUAUGAGAUUCCUUUUUUCAAAAAAUAAAUGAAUUUGGAUUUCCUAUGAGGCACCAAUUCACCCUGAGAAAGGUGUUGUGUCAUUAUAAAAGACUUCCGCUAUGUAGCUCAGGACAUUUGUUGUUUCUGUAAUCAGCCUUAAUAAACAUUUAUCUCAAUGUAUGGUAACUUUCGUAUACUCUUCUA